UAGGGAAUCUUGCACAAUGGGCGAAAGCCUGAUGCAGCGAUGCCGCGUGAGGGAUGAAGGCCCUCGGGUUGUAAACCUCUUUCAGUAGGGAAGAAGCCACGGGUCACCGUGGUGACGGUACCUGCAGAAGAAGCCCCGGCUAACUACGUGCCAGCAGCCGCGGUAAAACGUAGGGGGCUAGCGUUGCCCGGAUUUACUGGGCGUAAAGCGGGUGUAGGCGGUUCUUUAAGUCGGAUGUGAAAUCCAGCGGCCCAACCGCUGAAUUGCAUCCGAUACUGGGGAACUUGAGGACGGUAGAGGUCGGUGGAAUACCCGGUGUACCGGUGAAAUGGACAGAUAUCGGGAGGAACACCAGUGGCGAAGGCGGCCGACUGGGCCGAUCCUGACGCUGAGACCCGAAAGCCAGGGUAGCGAACCGGAUUAGAUACCCGGGUAGUCC
rnacentral:rRNA from 1 species